GACGAACGCUGGCGGCGUGCCUAAUACAUGCAAGUAGAACGCUGAAGAGAGGAGCUUGCUCUUCUUGGAUGAGUUGCGAACGGGUGAGUAACGCGUAGGUAACCUGCCUUGUAGCGGGGGAUAACUAUUGGAAACGAUAGCUAAUACCGCAUAACAAUGGAUGACACAUGUCAUUUAUUUGAAAGGGGCAAUUGCUCCACUACAAGAUGGACCUGCGUUGUAUUAGCUAGUAGGUGAGGUAAGGGCUCACCUAGGCGACGAUACAUAGCCGACCUGAGAGGGUGGUCGGCCACACUGGGACUGAGACACGGCCCAGACUCCUGCGGGAGGCAGCAGUAGGGAAUCUUCGGCAAUGGGGGCAACCCUGACCGAGCAACGCCGCGUGAGUGAAGAAGGUUUUCGGAUCGUAAAGCUCUGUUGUAAGUCAAGAACGGGUGUGAGAGUGGAAAGUUCACACUGUGACGGUAGCUUACCAGAAAGGGACGGCUAACUACGUG
rnacentral:rRNA from 1 species